rnacentral:lncRNA from 1 species
UUUUGCCAAGUUUUGUAAGUACAAUAGACGUUUGCCUUCAAUUCUUUUGUAAAAUGUUCUCAAGUCAGAACACCCUAAUGGCUAAAUGUAUCUCAACCAAGUCAUCUCUAGUGCGGCUUGGUUUUUGAUUUCUAUCAUAGCAUUUUUUUUUGCGAGAAAUUUUUUAGUCUAUUCAUCUUCAAUCAUGGCAGUACAACGAACACCAGAAACAAUAAGAAUUACACGCAAAUCCGUAGACCACCUGGAGACGACUACACAAUGAAGCGAGCCGAAGGCGCGCCGUCGUCACUGCCCCUCUCUCGCCGAAGCCAGCAAAAAUUGUUAUAGUAAACAGUCGAGUAGUCGUCGUGCUAAGGCCCCAUAGACCAGCGCACCAGAACAGCAACCGCCGCAAUUGAAAAGACGCAUAGAUCGAAAGGAUCCAACCUGAAGACAUACCAACAAAGACAAACGAAGACCGCAUUAGAAUAGGUCCACCAAAGACAAGCACCGACCGAAUCCCAUGAGAUCCACCAAAAACACACCUCCACAUGCCCUCCGGCGAUGCUAGAUGCACCACUGAGACGGGGCUAGGCGGGGAGAAAAAUAUUCUUACUAUUAUUGUAUUAUCUUAUUUAUAGUGAAACAAGUUGAGAAGAGGUUGUUAAUAAGAGAUUGCCCAGGGGGAAGAGGACUGAAACAUGCCACUGAAAGACUCUACUGAGACAAAAAGAUGGGCUGUCAAAAAGGUAGAGGAGUAGCGUUGCUUUCGAUACUAUGUAUGUUAGUAUUAUAAGACAUUUGAGAAGUGGAAAUACUUGAUUUCUGGAUGGUUGAAUUAAAAAAAAUCUGUUCGGAUCACAUGGCUAUUACCGGAGUGCACUUUCAAUUGGUAGACAAUUCAAAGUUUGAUGCGGAAAUAAAGUCCAAAAUAAAGAGAUGGCUAGAAGAAGGCUGGGACAGUAAAGUCGUGGCCGUACAUAAAAUACAGGGCAUGUCGAUCGACUUUAUCUUUUAGUAUUUCCUUUUUUCAAAUCAACAUGCAGGAGGACUGCAUGCCUCAUAAUUAGAGAAGGAAGUAAGGGCAGAGAUCCACAGUACACGCACGACCAAAAACAAGAGACGGCGUCCCCAAACCAGAAACAAAGCGAAAAAUUACAAAGCAAAGCAAGGCGCAAGAGCUGCCGCCUGCCUGCAAGACAGGGAAAAACUAAAUUUUACAUAGCCAAAAAUCCACAUCCACCUUUAGUUGAUUGAUUUACGACCUGAGCAACUGGAGUGAAUUUGUUGUAAAAAGUGCGGGCACUCCUCUCCUCGACUCCUUCCAUAUAGCCCAAGCAGUGAAAACAAACGCAGUCCAACUUCUUCCACUGAAGCAGUGAACACAAACACAACUGGUGUUCCCGUGAAGAGCGUCUCUCUUCUUUUAGUGUUUCCUUUAUCCCUUUUUCUUUUGCCUUCCUUUACCCCUUUUCUUUUGGCUUUGACAGCAUGCAUGACGCCAACGACAAUGACUGACAGCCCCUUGAAAUUACUUGUCUGCUUGAGUGCUUGUUGUGAUAAACAAACAUAGGGUAGCGAUACACCUACGUACAACAUACCAAGAGAGAGGGAAGGGAGAUGUCUGAUCUCUGGAGUGGUUUGCUUCUGCGAUGGUGGGAUGAAUGGCAGCUACGUAUCCUCGUCCUGGGCAGUCUGGGCCUCCAGUGGUUCCUCCUGCUUGUCGCCCCUAUGCUCUUUGGGAAGGAGAAGGGGCAGAAGGAAUAGCAGCAGAAGAAAUCCAAGAGGAACAACAACAAGGACAGGAAGAGCAACAACAAGAAGAUAGGUUGGACCCAGCAUUACGUCUUCAUAUGAAGUGCACAGUUGCAAUAUCCAACUACAUGGCGCACCUGCUGAAUUUGAACCCUGAGAUGCUGCUGACCGGCAGCAGGCACCAUCUGAUCUCCGAAGCUAUGGAGGAAGUAAAAACCUGCUUUUUGUUGAAGAAGUAUAAGCUGAGCCAAAGAGAGGAAGUAAAGAAGCUCAUUGACGACAUAGUGGACAAGUCAGUGAGUGAACAUGAUGAAGUUUUCCACAUCACUGAGGCAUGCAAGCUUGCGAAAGAGUUGCUAAAGAUGCCGACACAUAGGCGCUGGAUGCUGAUGUACCGAGUGUGGCUGGGCAUGCUCUGCUACUCCGCCAGCAUGUCCAGGGGUUACCUGCAUGCCAAGAGCUUGGGUGAAGGUGGAGAAUUCCUCACUUUCGUCUGGCUCGUGCUCUCGCUCAAGGGGGGCAAGAGCUUGGCCGACAAGCUUCAGAUGCCGCCAGACAAUGAUGACAACACCGUCAAACCAUAAGUGCCAGGUGUGCAAGGAUUUGGCCGGGUGUGUGGUUGAUUGAUUUUACAAUCUAGAUUGCGUGCUUGCAUGCGUGCUUGCAUGUGAGCUACUGUAGCUCUGGUACGUAUAUCGUUGCAUACAUGUUUUCUUGUUCGCCGGAUACAUUUGUCCUUGCUUUGCUAAUCUGGUGUGCUGCUACCGGUGUGUUUGUGUGUUCAUGGGCCGGCAUAGAAUUCAAGGCUCCCAUGUGUCAGGUGUGUUUAAUAUUUUGCUAUAAUUAUGUAUUGUCCUCUCGUUGAGCGAUUUGUCAUUUAUGAUCCUCUUACGCAAUGCCUACUACUACUUGCAAAUCUUGUUUCACGCCUUAUGUCAACAAUACUUCUACCAGUAUCCUUUAUGGCAGUAGUUCAUGUGUUCCAUGUUUCUCCCCUUCUUGUAUGGCAGCUCCACCAACAUAUAUGUGUUGGCAUGAAACCCAUAAUUCAUGCACUACUACAGAAAAAUAAUUUUAGCCAACACCCUCCAUUUUACUGUAGAGGCAGUUUAGCUUAUUCAGAAAUUUCAAUAGGCAUGUCUAUAAGAAACCAGGAAAACAACACAAAAACAAAAGUUAACCACGGAAAUUGAAGUUGCAAUCCAUUCUAAAGCUUUGUUUAUGAACCAGUAAUUUAGCUAGUGCUAACAAAGGAAGGGAAGAUCAAAUCGUCAUAAAGCAAACAAAGGCUGAGAGUGUGCUGCAAGCGAAGCUGAAACAAUUGCCCUGGCUAUUCAGGUUACAACUAAUAUGGCUAGCAGAGGAACAUAUAUUAUUUUAGGUGGUAACCUAAAACUAAGUUCAUCUAGUACUGCUCACCAGAACUCCUCCUGCACACGCAGCUAGCCGAAAUAUGAUGCAUCUUUUUUGCUGCCAGAUAUUUGGAAGAGAAACAGUACUAGUAGAAGAUAACAUACUGAAACUAGGUUACUCAUUUUAACUGCGGACUGGAUUUCUGCCUAAAACAAACAGGGGAACAAUAAUCAAAACAGGGACUUGCUAUUACUAAUUACACCAGCAGGAAGUUCCAAGGUUGAGAAAGGCACAGACGUUAUGAGAAAGGCACAAACAUUAUGUGCUGAUGAUAAGGCAAAUACGUGUGGCAUUAUUCUAAUGGCCUUCGCCUUUUAUAUCUCACAAGUUAGAGCAUCUACAAUGCAAGAUGCUUAUCUAGAAUUCUAGAUACUAGCCGAGAAAAAAAUAGAGAUCAAAAAAUUAAAUAUCCGGCUAAGCGCUCCCUCUCCAUCUCCAAUGGUAAGUGCUAGGCACCAACAACCCAUUUCAUAGCUAAUGCAGGAGGGAAAAAAACAGCAUAGAGCCGGCUGUCGCGUCGAUGCCAGUCGGACCUGAUGACAGGAUUGGAUCAACAAACUGUCAAUCUACUGGGAAAUUUAUCCUAGCGCCCUCUCCUGGCGUCUGGUAUCGGAGAUGGCCUUAGGCAUCACAGCCAGUGCUGGAACAGCCAUCAGUUAGUUUUGCCACCAGUGGUGACGAUUCAGACCAUGAACUACUUCAUGGGGUAUUUUUCGAACAGCAAACAGUGGAUCCUUCUGCCUCUAGCAACAGAGGGGACGCUAGUGCUUCCGUGCCAUGCCCCUGCAGAACAGGACGCGGCGGCGAGGUGCCCAGGGGACUGCCGUGAUAGGCUACCUCGUCCACAUCCACUGCGAUGGAGCCAGGACGCAAAUCAUGAACCUAGCUCGCACGCGAGAGAGAGAAGCCUAGCAUACAUCACAAGAGGGGAAGAAAGAUGAGAGCGACGGGAUUACCUGUCAAAAUGUGGCCGCCGGAGGGCUCGCCGCCGCCAUCGAUUCGCGCCGCCGGGAUCUCCGACCCACUCGGGC